GGCCUCCGCUCCUGCCCGAUGGCGCCGACGCUCAUGGAGUCUCCUUCUCCGCAUGCUCAGACGGCGAAAUCCCUACGCCCAAUAGUUGCUGCGCGGCGAUCGUGGUGAAAACUGGAAACGUUGGUGAAGGAUUUUGUGAAAUCAAUCAUUUCGUUGACUUCACCUGAUGCAAGUUGAUGAGAUCUUCAGUUCUCAAUCUUUUCCAAUGAUAAUGGAGAUGACCCACAAAGGAGUUCACAACACUAAGAUUCUCACCGGUAUGGGGAUACGCUAGUCUGAAAAACAACACUAUAGUAAUUUUUCCCCUCAAACAUGUAAACACUAUGGUAAUAUAGAGAAAAUAUUGCCUUCUUAAA